rnacentral:lncRNA from 1 species
GCAAGAUCUGAUCACAAUCAGAAUGUGGACAAGAUCAGUAUCAAGGACGCAAGUUUGAACCAGCUGUAAACAGGUCUUCUGUCUGUGAAUAUUGAGAAGGGCUGGUGGUUGUGGACGGUUGGCUGUGGAUUGGAGACAGAUGUGCUUGUGGAAACCGCUCUUGGGUGGUGCAAAAUAGAUCAACUGCCUCACAUGGGGUUGGAAAAGCAAAACAAUGGUUCACUCCAAGCCUCCCGCGACCGUGUUGCUCUAACGGUCAUUCAGAGUCAACUGUGACCGCUCUCAAUGGCAAACACUGUUGUCUGUGGAUUCGAACCUGGCAAUCUCUGACAAAUUUGUCCCUAACCCUGUCAACGUGUUGGACCUCUUUUACUGCCAGACAUCACAAAGCCCUUGACCACUACCCAUGACAAGGUGGUGGACAACACCACAACAACCCUGGUUGCUAUCCUAGUGAAUGUUGACAACAUCCCAACACCCCUGACCACUAACACAGUCAACCGCGGAGUUAAGGAGGAGGUGACCUCCAGUCAGGUGAGUUAGAUUAAAUCACGUUGACAGGUUAGCAUUUAACUUCUUAUGGCUGCAGGGGGAGUAUUGAGUAGCUUGGAUGAAAGGUGCCCAUAUCAAACGGCCUGCUCCUCAGUCAUAGUUGCUAAUAUUUGCAUAUUAUUAGUAGUAUUGGAUAGAAAACACUCUGAUGUUUCUAAAACUGUGUGAAUGAUGUCUGUGAGUAUAACAGAACUCAUAUUGGCAGGCCAAAUCCUGAGUUGAAAUCAAAACAGGAAGUCAGAAAUAUGAGCUUGUAUGUAUUCACCAGAGUCCCCAAUGAAAUCCCCUUGAGAAAUGAAUGAUGUUGCACUGCCUAGGGGUUCCACUAGAUGUCAUCCAUCAAUAGAAAUUAUAAUGAGGCUUCUAUGUUGUUGUGGGAGUGAAUGAGAGCAGAAUAUAUCAGAUGUCCAUCAAGCAGCCAUUUUGUGAUCCCACUUUUUCCUCAUGGUAGUCACUUGCGAUCCAUUGCUCAUGCAGACAAGAAAGAAUACUCUGGUUGGAACUUUAUUGAAGCUAUAUGUUAAAAACAUCCCAAUGAUUGAUUCUGUACUUAGUUUGAAAUGUUUCUUCCACCGGUAAUAUCACUCUUUGAAGUUUUUGUCCGAUAUAACGCUGACCAGAAUUAGCGUUUGGAUAUGUAUACCAAACGCACUAACAAAAGAAGGUAUUUGGGACAUAAAUAACGGAUAUUUUCGAACAAAACAAACAUUUAUUGUGGACCUGGGAUUCCUGGAGUGCUUUCUGAUGUAGAUGUAAUUUCUUAUUUAUGUUGACGCCAUCUUUGCGGCUGUGUUGUUUUUACUUUUGAGCGCCGUCUCAGAUUAUUGCAUGCGUUUCUUUUUCCGUAAAGUUUUUAAAAAAUCUGACACAGCCAGCAGUUGCAUUAAGGAGAGGUAUAUCUAUAAUUCCAUAUGUACUUGUAUUAUCAUCUACAUUUAUGAUGUGUAUUUCUGUUGAAUGAUGUGGCUAUGCAAAAUCACUUGAUGUUUUUGGAACUAGUGAAUCUAACGCGCCAAUGUAAACUCAGAUUUUUUUUAUAUAAAUAUGAACUUUAUCAAACAAAACAUGCAUGUAUUGUGUAACAUGAAGUCCUAUGAGUGUCAUCUGAUGAAGAUAAUUCAAGGUUAGUGAUUCAUUUUCUUUAUUUCAGUUUUUGUGAAUGCUAUAUUUUGCUGGAAAAUGGCUGUGCUUAUUGUGGUUUGGUGGAGACCUAACAUAAUAAUUUGUAGUGCUUUCAUUGAAAAGCCUAUUUGAAAUCGGACACUUUGGUGGGAUUAAUGAUGAGAAAAGUAAAAUGAUAUAAGACACAUGUAUGUUUUAGGAAUUGUAAUUAUGAGAUUUCUGUGGUUUGAAAUUGGCGCCCUCUAUUUUCACUGGUAGUUGUCAUAUCGAUCCCGGUAUUGGGAUUGCAGCCAUAACAGGUUUACUGUCAUAUAACAUAUUAGCUAAUGUUUUAUAACUAGACAGUUUUGUCACUAAUUUAAGCUAUUGUUUGAGAUUGAUAUUCUCCUUAUAAUUUCUAGAGGAUUCUGUGAUCAUCAAACCAAAGAACAGCAGUCAUGCGAUUAUUCCGUAGACUUUUCUG